rnacentral:rRNA from 1 species
AUGUUAUUGAUGUGUACUUUACUAGUGUUUAUAGUAGCCCCUGGGUAUUUGAUACUUGUUCAGUUGCUAAAAAUUAGUAACUCGAAACAGGAGUUACAGAAUAAACAGAGACUAGUUGAGGGAACUGAGUGCUUCUACUGCAAAGGAAAUGGUCACUGGAAGCGGAAAUGCCCUGAAUAUUUGGUGGAUAAGAAGGAUGGCAAAGUGAACAAGGGUAUAUUUGAUAUACAGGUUAUUGAUGUGUACCUUACUAGUGUUUAUAGUAGCCCCUGGGUAUUUGAUACUUGUUCAGUUGCUAAAAAUUAG